CCUACGGGAGGCAGCAGUGAGGAAUAUUGGUCAAUGGGCGCGAGCCUGAACCAGCCAAGUAGCGUGAAGGAUGACUGCCCUACGGGUUGUAAACUUCUUUUAUAAAGGAAUAAAGUGAGGCACGUGUGCCUUUUUGUGUGUACUUUAUGAAUAAGGAUCGGCUAACUCCGUGCCAGCAGCCGCGGUAAUACGGAGGAUCCGAGCGUUAUCCGGAUUUAUUGGGUUUAAAGGGAGCGUAGGUGGGUUGUUAAGUCAGUUGUGAAAGUCUGGGGCUCAACCGUAAGAUUGCAGUUGAUACUGGCAGCCUUGAGUACAGUUGAGGUAGGCGGAAUGCGUGGUGUAGCGGUGAAAUGCAUAGAUAUCACGAAGAACUCCGAUUGCGAAGGCAGCUUACUAGACUGCCACUGACAUUGAUGCUCGAAAGUGUGGGUAUCAAACAGGAUUAGAUACCCGAGUAGUC
rnacentral:rRNA from 1 species